AUGCCAGAGAUGGUCGGGGCUUGUGUGCGUGGGUGUGGGCGGCGGCUCCGGGGGCCGGCAGCGCACACGGGUGUGGCGGCGGAUCCGGCGGCCGACAGCGCUGCAGCCAAGGUGGGGGAUGGGUGUGGGGAUCGUGGUGGAGUGCGCAGAUGGGUCCGGGGUGGGUGGAGACAGGGUUUUCUUUUUUUCCUCCACUGGUUUUCGGUUCGGGAGUUCGGGAGGAUCCACUCGCCUCUAUAUAGUGCGCUCCGUGAUCCAAAUAACUAUUUUGACCAGGAUCAGAAUAGUGCUACUAUAUAUAUAUGUGUGUGGAUGUACACCGGUCACACUAGUCAGAAAGACAUGUCCAUUGAAUGGUUAACAAAAAUCAAAGGGUUUUUGAGAGCCGCAUUUGCAAAUGGCCAGAGGACAACAAGGUUCUCCUGUGCCGGGUGCAACAAUUGA
rnacentral:rRNA from 1 species